ACAGACAGGUAUUCAGAACUACCUACCUACCUUUGCCUGCCUACCUUCGUGCCAGCCUACUGCCUUUUCUCGGUGGCAGCCAAGUUAUCU
ensembl:ncRNA R03D7.10 ncRNA